rnacentral:rRNA from 1 species
UGUUAGCGGCGGACGGGUGAGUAACACGUGGAUAACCUACCUAUAAGACUGGGAUAACUUCGGGAAACCGGAGCUAAUACCGGAUAAUAUUUUGAACCGCAUGGUUCAAUAGUGAAAGACGGUUUCGGCUGUCACUUAUAGAUGGACCCGCGCCGUAUUAGCUAGUUGGUAAGGUAACGGCUUACCAAGGCGACGAUACGUAGCCGACCUGAGAGGGUGAUCGGCCACACUGGAACUGAGACACGGUCCAG